rnacentral:rRNA from 1 species
AUGCACGCUGGCGGCGUGCCUAAUACAUGCAAGUCGAGCGAACAGACGAGGAGCUUGCUCCUCUGACGUUAGCGGCGGACGGGUGAGUAACACGUGGAUAACCUACCUAUAAGACUGGGAUAACUUCGGGAAACCGGAGCUAAUACCGGAUAAUAUAUUGAACCGCAUGGUUCAAUAGUGAAAGACGGUUUUGCUGUCACUUAUAGAUGGAUCCGCGCCGCAUUAGCUAGUUGGUAAGGUAACGGCUUACCAAGGCGACGAUGCGUAGCCGACCUGAGAGGGUGAUCGGCCACACUGGAACUGAGACACGGUCCAGACUCCUACGGGAGGCAGCAGUAGGGAAUCUUCCGCAAAGGGCGAAAGCCUGACGGAGCAACGCCGCGUGAGUGAUGAAGGUCUUCGGAUCGUAAAACUCUGUUAUUAGGGAAGAACAAAUGUGUAAGUAACUAUGCACGUCUUGACGGUACCUAAUCAGAAAGCCACGGCUAACUACGUG